UGGGGAAUCUUGGACAAUGGGCGCAAGCCUGAUCCAGCCAUGCCGCGUGAGUGAUGAAGGCCUUAGGGUCGUAAAGCUCUUUCGCCAGAGAUGAUAAUGACAGUAUCUGGUAAAGAAACCCCGGCUAACUCCGUGCCAGCAGCCGCGGUAAUACGGAGGGGGUUAGCGUUGUUCGGAAUUACUGGGCGUAAAGCGCACGUAGGCGGAUCAGAAAGUAAGGGGUGAAAUCCCAGGGCUCAACCCUGGAACUGCCUCUUAAACUCCUGGUCUUGAGUUCGAGAGAGGUGAGUGGAAUUCCGAGUGUAGAGGUGAAAUUCGUAGAUAUUCGGAGGAACACCAGUGGCGAAGGCGGCUCACUGGCUCGAUACUGACGCUGAGGUGCGAAAGUGUGGGGAGCAAACAGGACUAGAUACCCUGGUAGUCCACACCGUAAACGAUGA
rnacentral:rRNA from 1 species